UUGUGAGAAUUGAAUUCCUUUAGGUGUUGUG
rnacentral:piRNA from 1 species